rnacentral:rRNA from 1 species
CGUCAAGUCAUCAUGCCCCUUAUGACCUGGGCUACGCACGUGCUACAAUGGCCGGUACAGAGCGCAGCAAACCUGCGAAGGCAAGCUAAUCGCUUAAAACCGGUCUCAGUUCAGAUCGGAGUCUGCAACCCGACUCCGUGAAGUCGGAAUCGCUAGUAAUCUCGGGUCAGCAUACCGAGGUGAAUACGUUCCCGGGCCUU